UACGAAGGGGCUAGCGUUGUUCGGAAUUACUGGGCGUAAAGCGCGCGCAGGCGGUUCUUUAAGUCAGGGGUGAAAGCCCAGAGCUCAACUCUGGAAUUGCCUUUGAAACUAGAGAACUUGGGUACGGGAGAGGUGAGUGGAAUUCCGAGUGUAGAGGUGAAAAUUCGUUAGAUAUUCGGAAGAAACACCAGUGGCGAAGGCGAGUCCCUGGACAACACCUGACACUGAGGCACGAAAGCUAGGGAGCAAACAGG
rnacentral:rRNA from 1 species